rnacentral:rRNA from 1 species
AGAGCGAACGCUGGCGGCAGGCUUAACACAUGCAAGUCGAGCGGGCGUAGCAAUACGUCAGCGGCAGACGGGUGAGUAACGCGUGGGAACGUACCUUUUGGUUCGGAACAACCCAGGGAAACUUGGGCUAAUACCGGAUAAGCCCUUACGGGGAAAGAUUUAUCGCCGAAAGAUCGGCCCGCGUCUGAUUAGCUAGUUGGUGAGGUAAUGGCUCACCAAGGCGACGAUCAGUAGCUGGUCUGAGAGGAUGAUCAGCCACAUUGGGACUGAGACACGGCCCAAACUCCUACGGGAGGCAGCAGUGGGGAAUAUUGGACAAUGGGCGCAAGCCUGAUCAAGCCAUGCCGCGUGAGUGAUGAAGGCCCUAGGGUUGUAAAGCUCUUUUGUGCGGGAAGAUAAUGACGGUACCGCAAGAAUAAGCCCCGGCUAACUUCGUGCCAGCAGCCGC